CGUACGCUUCUUUUUCCACCGGAGCUUGCUCCACCGGAAAAAGAAGAGUGGCGAACGGGUGAGUAACACGUGGGUAACCUGCCCAUCAGAAGGGGAUAACACUUGGAAACAGGUGCUAAUACCGUAUAACAAUCGAAACCGCAUGGUUUUGAUUUGAAAGGCGCUUUCGGGUGUCGCUGAUGGAUGGACCCGCGGUGCAUUAGCUAGUUGGUGAGGUAACGGCUCACCAAGGCCACGAUGCAUAGCCGACCUGAGAGGGUGAUCGGCCACAUUGGGACUGAGACACGGCCCAAACUCCUACGGGAGGCAGCAGUAGGGAAUCUUCGGCAAUGGACGAAAGUCUGACCGAGCAACGCCGCGUGAGUGAAGAAGGUUUUCGGAUCGUAAAACUCUGUUGUUAGAGAAGAACAAGGAUGAGAGUAACUGUUCAUCCCUUGACGGUAUCUAACCAGAAAGCCACGGCUAACUACGUGCCAGCAGC
rnacentral:rRNA from 1 species